UACGAAGGGGGCUAGCGUUGUUCGGAAUCACUGGGCGUAAAGGGCGCGUAGGCGGCCGAUCAAGUCGGGGGUGAAAGCCUGUGGCUCAACCACAGAAUUGCCUUCGAUACUGUUUGGCUUGAGACCGGAAGAGGUUAGUGGAACUGCGAGUGUAGAGGUGAAAUUCGUAGAUAUUCGCAAGAACACCAGUGGCGAAGGCGGCUGACUGGUCCGGUUCUGACGCUGAGGCGAGAAAGCGUGGGGAGCAAACAGG
rnacentral:rRNA from 1 species